AUCCAAGUGCACGGGCGUUUUCCUUCUCCGUGAAGCGAUAAGCUGAGAGAGGAAUUUUGCUAGUUGAAAACUAUACACUGACCACUCCUGGCUGGGUUCGCCUGGCCAGGGAAUAUUUGGAACCCUACAGACUCUCUGCUUGUUUGG
rnacentral:snRNA from 1 species